rnacentral:rRNA from 1 species
UCCGUAGGUGAACCUGCGGAAGGAUCAUUACCGAAGUACAGGCCCCUUUACGGGGCUACACUUCCACCCUUUGUUUACUAUUCUUUGUUGCUUUGGCGAGACGUCCUCGGACCACCGGCCCUCGGGCUGGUGCGCGCUCGCCAGAGGAAAAUCAAACCCAAACCUUUUUUAGUGUUGUCUGAGAAACAAGUUUAAUUAUUAAAACUUUCAACAACGGAUCUCUUGGCUCUGGCAUCGAUGAAGAACGCAGCGAAAUGCGAUAAGUAAUGUGAAUUGCAGAAUUCAGUGAAUCAUCGAAUCUUUGAACGCACAUUGCGCCCCUUGGUAUUCCGGGGGGCAUGCCUGUUCGAGCGUCAUUAUCACCCCUCAAGCUCAGCUUGGUGUUGGGGCCUGCCCGUCACAGGGCAGCCCUUAAAAUCAGUGGCGGUGCCAUCUGGCUCUACGCGUAGUAAUACUCCUCGCGACAGAGUCCCGGUGGUGUCCUGCCAGAACCCCCCAUACUUUUAAUGAUUGACCUCGGAUCAGGUAGGGAUACCCGCUGAACUUAAGCAUAUCAUAAGCGGGAGGGGAAGGUCGACUGGCCAAGGGCACACAGGGGGGGAUA